rnacentral:rRNA from 1 species
UACGUAGGGUGCGAGCGUUGUCCGGAUUUAUUGGGCGUAAAGAGCUCGUAGGCGGUUUGUCGCGUCAGCCGUGAAAUCUCCACGCUUAACGUGGAGUGUGCGGUCGAUACGGGCAGACUUGAGUUCGGUAGGGGAGACUGGAAUUCCUGGUGUAGCGGUGAAAUGCGCAGAUAUCAGGAGGAACACCGGUGGCGAAGGCGGGUCUCUGGGCCGUAACUGACGCUGAGGAGCGAAAGCAUGGGGAGCGAACAGG